AGAGUUUGAUCCUGGCUCAGAACGAACGUUGGCGGCGUGGAUUAGGCAUGCAAGUCGAACGAAUCCCGGGGGGCAACUCCCGGGGGAAGUGGCGAAAGGGGCAGUAAUGCAUGGGUAACCUACCCCGGGGAUCGGGAUAGCCCUCCUAACGGAGGGGUAAUACCGGGCGACCUGGUCGAGGGGCAUCUCUUGGCCAGCAAAUGAGUUUCGCCCCGGGAGGGGCCCAUGUGCUAUUAGCUAGUUGGCGGGGUAACGGCCCACCAAGGCGAAGAUGGCUAGCGGGUGUGAGAGCACGACCCGCGCCACUGGCACUGUGACACGGUCCAGACUCCUACGGGAGGCAGCAGUGGGGAAUAUUGCACAAUGGGCGAAAGCCUGAUGCAGCAACGCCGCGUGAGUGAUGAAGGCCUUCGGGUUGUAAAACUCUGUCUUUGGGGACGAUAAUGACGGUACCCAAGGAGGAAGCCACGGCUAACUACGUGCCAGCAGCCGCGGUAAUACGUAGGUGGCAAGCGUUGUCCGGAUUUACUGGGCGUAAAGAAUGCGUAGGCGGAUAUUUAAGUCAGAUGUGAAAUCCCCGGGCUUAACUUGGGGGCUGCAUUUGAAACUGGAUAUCUAGAGUGCGGGAGAGGUAAGUGGAAUUCCUAGUGUAGCGGUGAAAUGCGUAGAGAUUAGGAAGAACACCAGUGGCGAAGGCGACUUACUGGACCGUAACUGACGCUGAGGCAUGAAAGCGUGGGGAGCAAACAGGAUUAGAUACCCUGGUAGUCCACGCCGUAAACGAUGGGUACUAGGUGUAG
rnacentral:rRNA from 1 species